rnacentral:rRNA from 1 species
AUUGAACGCUGGCGGCAGGCCUAACACAUGCAAGUCGAGCGGAUGAGGAGAGCUUGCUCUUCGAUUCAGCGGCGGACGGGUGAGUAAUGCCUAGGAAUCUGCCUGGUAGUGGGGGACAACGUUUCGAAAGGAACGCUAAUACCGCAUACGUCCUACGGGAGAAAGCAGGGGACCUUCGGGCCUUGCGCUAUCAGAUGAGCCUAGGUCGGAUCAGCUAGUUGGUGAGGUAAUGGCUCACCAAGGCGACGAUCCGUAACUGGUCUGAGAGGAUGAUCAGUCACACUGGAACUGAGACACGGUCCAGACUCCUACGGGAGGCAGCAGUGGGGAAUAUUGGACAAUGGGCGAAAGCCUGAUCCAGCCAUGCCGCGUGUGUGAAGAAGGUCUUCGGAUUGUAAAGCACUUUAAGUUGGGAGGAAGGGCAGUAAGUUAAUACCUUGCUGUUUUGACGUUACCGACAGAAUAAGCACCGGCUAACUCUGUGCCAGCAGCCGCGGUAAAAC